UUGCUGUCUUUCUCAUGAGAAUCCACUCUCAGACCCCAUGCCUCCUCGUGGACUCUGACAGAUGGUGGCAUCCAACCGGACCCUGACUGAGCAGAGACUGUUUAUGUUUGCAUGACCUGCAGGGGAACUGGAAGUGCACUAGAUGAUCUAGCAAAGCACAAAACCUCCACAAGUGGUCCUGCACUGCACAGCUGGAACCGCUGCAAGAAAGACCUAUUCAUUGUUGGCUCACUGAGAGUGCUGCUUCUGCUGCCUAGACUGGAUUAG
rnacentral:lncRNA from 1 species